CAUUUCUGAUUGUCUUUGUAUAUAUGAUUUAACCAUCCGCUUUUGAAUUUACUUGUUCAUUGCAUAUUGAUACCUCCUCUAGGUUAGUUUGACCUUUUUAGCUCUGAUUUUCAUUGUCAGAUUAAAAUUCCAGGCCAGUUCCAAAAGGGAAAUCAUCAAUUAUGCAAGUCCAAAUUAAGUGAAGUAAAACAAAGAUCAGUGUAUCUAUUUAUUACAUAAAUUUACAUGUAUGAUUUCAAUGAGUAAAAUAUAUUCAUUCCCAUUUAUGUGGUUGUACAUGCUUUGGAUCCUUCAUUACUCUAUUGUGUACUACUUUGUGUUACACUAAUAAUAAUAACAUACGGCCUGCUUAACCUAUUAGUUAAUCAGUUGAAUUUUCGUCGAAGUUAAGAGGCAUAUUUGCUUAAAUCAUAAUAUAAUGCCUUAUCCGGGGUUUUUUUUUCUUAUUUUCUACUCUUGCAUUAGCUUCUUUCAUUCUGUAACAGUAGGUUCGGACACUUUUAUUGAAUAUUACCGUGAAGGCUUGCGGAAUGAUAGUAUUUCAAAAGGGCCACAUCUUCCUAGAAUGUUCUAUCUUACAAGUACAUUCUUAUAAUUUGUGUUGCUUCAUAUUUACUUUGACUAGCGAGAAAAGAGAGCAGGAAAAAAAGAGGAGCAACAUGCUACUAAUGUAGAAAAUAUGAGGAGCAACAUGCUACUAACCUCACUUAUCAUUUAACAAAACAUGUUAGCUAGCUUUAAUCAAUUACAAUGUAUAAUACUAACAUUCAUUUAACUAAUGUAGAAAAUAAUUUAUAUUAUCCAAACCAAACACCCCUUAUAUAAUCUUUGCCCUUUAAAUAGUAUAGUUCAUGUUGAUUAUAGAUUGCAGCUACAAUAAUAGUGAUAGUAAUAUGAAAUAAUAAACUACUUUCGCAGAUGAUAAUAAUUAAUAGUGGUUGAGAAAUUUAGCUUAUGUGGGGAAAUCUACAUAUCUUAAGCUCGAGUCCCUUUAUUAUGUAUUCAAAUUAGAAUGCCAAGUCAUUGAAAUUUCCAGAAACUCUGGCUUUUCGAUGCAAAAAAUUUCUAAAGUAAUUGGCUGUGAUCGAAGGACUGGAUUGACUUGCCUCAUGGUCAUAGGUCAAUCACCCAACUAUCUGGAAACUUCCAUUUUUACAGUUUAAGAAUAAUCUUCCAAGUUUUAGUUGAAUAUACUCUUGAUUUAUCUUUAAAAAAUCCUUAAAUUCAUUAUUAAAUCAUAGAUACUUACAGGUGAAAGACCUCUGAAGUCAUUGUUUAUGAAAGCGAGAAGACGUGCCAUGACUCCGACUUCUAACAAAUUCUGCAAGAAAUCGAUCUAAUCAAAGGGAAUGCUAAAAGUCUAUGGGCUAUGGCACUGAACAGUGAAAACUUUGAGGAUCUGAUUACCGAGUUGAUGAUUGAUGACAUAAAAGUAACUAAGCAACUUAAGAUUUGCCCCAUUAAAAUCAUUGAAGUAUACAUGUAGCACAUGUCCGUUUAGUGGGAUCCCUUGGAAUAAUAAAAUGCUUCACAAGGUAGGGUGAAUGAUGAUCUCUCAGAGCUUGGAGGAAAAAAUAAUCUUCUCCCAUGGUUCGAAAUGGUCCUUCAAAGUUAAAAUUGUUGCACACAAUUCAUCACUAGGUGGACUUCACAAUAUUUGAAUUUCUUUGUAGGACUUUGAUCCUCAAUGCAAGAAAACACUAUGCAGUGUUAUUAUGUUGUAAAUAGUGAAUUGAGUAGGCAACAAUCCUUCCUUUUUAGUGGUUCGAUAUUGAAUUCCUUUUU